GAGGGAACACGGACAAAAGGGUAUGCCAUGAUGCCAGGAACACAUGAGUCAUGGAACACAGGAGUUGGCAAAAGGGAGAGUGGUAGAGCAAAGGAAGAAC